GCACAAGCGGUGGAGCAUGUGGUUCAAUUCGAAGCAACGCGCAGAACCUUACCAGCCCUUGACAUGGCAGGACGGUUUCCAGAGAUGGAUUCCUUCCCUUCGGGGACCUGCACACAGGUGCUGCAUGGCUGUCGUCAGCUCGUGUCGUGAGAUGUUGGGUUAAGUCCCGCAACGAGCGCAACCCUCGCCCUUAGUUGCCAUCAUUCAGUUGGGCACUCUAGGGGGACUGCCGGUGAUAAGCCGAGAGGAAGGUGGGGAUGACGUCAAGUCCUCAUGGCCCUUACGGGCUGGGCUACACACGUGCUACAAUGGCGGUGACAGAGGGCUGCUACUCCGCAAGGAGAAGCCAAUCCCGAAAAGCCGUCUCAGUUCGGAUCGUCCUCUGCAACUCGAGGGCGUGAAGUUGGAAUCGCUAGUAAUCGCAGAUCAGCACGCCGCGGUGAAUACGUUCCCGGGC
rnacentral:rRNA from 1 species